GAGCAUUGAUGAAAAGAUUUUACUAUUGACCUCUGUAUCUAUGAAGGUUUCUACACUUGAUGUGAGCUCA
ensembl:snoRNA